rnacentral:rRNA from 1 species
UACGUAGGGGUCUAGCGUUGUCCGGAAUUAUUGGGCGUAAAGAGCUCGUAGGCGGUUCGGCAAGUCGGAUGUGAAAUCUCCACGCUUAACGUGGAGGGGCCAUUCGAAACUGCCGUGACUCGAGUCCGGUAGGGGAGUUCGGAAUUCCCGGUGUAGCGGUGAAAUGCGCAGAUAUCGGGAGGAACACCAGUGGCGAAGGCGGAACUCUGGGCCGGAACUGACGCUGAGGAGCGAAAGCGUGGGGAGCGAACAGGAUUAGAUACCCUGGUAGUCCACGCCGUAAACGUUGGGCACUAGGUGUGGGGCUCUAUCGACGGGUUCCGUGCCGUAGCUAACGCAUUAAGUGCCCCGCCUGGGGAGUACGGCCGCAAGGCUAAAACUCAAAG